ACUUGGGAGGCUGAGGUGGGAGAAUCGCUGGAACCUGGGAGGUGGAGGUUGGAGUGAACUGAGAUCAUGCCACUGCACUCCAGCCUGGGUGACAAAGUGAGACUCCAUCUCAGCAAAAAAAGAAAGAAAGAAAGAAAAAUAGUUUGGCAGUUUAUUUUAAAGUUAAACCCAGUCCUCAACUUAGAAUGGUUUGACUUCCGAUUUUUCAACUUUAUGAUGGUGCAAAAGUAGU
rnacentral:lncRNA from 10 species